ACGAGCGGCGAACGGGUGAGUAACACGUGAGUAAUCUGCCCCUCACUCUGGGAUAAGCACUCGAAAGGGUGUCUAAUACCGGAUACGACAUACGGCUGCAUGGUCUGUGUGUGGAAACUUUUAUGGGUGGGGGAUGUGCUCGCGGCCUAUCAGCUUGUUGGUGGGGUAAUGGCCUACCAAGGCUUCGACGGGUAGCCGGCCUGAGAGGGUGAUCGGCCACACUGGGACUGAGACACGGCCCAGACUCCUACGGGAGGCAGCAGUGGGGAAUAUUGGACAAUGGGCGGAAGCCUGAUCCAGCAACGCCGCGUGAGGGAUGACGGCCUUCGGGUUGUAAACCUCUUUCAGUAUCGACGAAGCGCCUGUAUGGGUGGUGACGGUAGGUACAGAAGAAGCACCGGCCAACUACGUGCCAGCAGCCGCGGUAAUACGUAGGGUGCGAGCGUUGUCCGGAAUUAUUGGGCGUAAAGGGCUCGUAGGCGGUUUGUCGCGUCGGGAGUGAAAACACUGGGCUUAACCGAGUGCUUGCUUUCGAUACGGGCAGACUAGAGGUAUGCAGGGGAGAACGGAAUUCCUGGUGUAGCGGUGAAAUGCGCAGAUAUCAGGAGGAACACCGGUGGCGAAGGCGGUUCUCUGGGCAUUACCUGACGCUGAGGAGCGAAAGUGUGGGGAGCGAACAGGAUUAGAUACCCUGGUAGUCCACACCGUAAACGUUGGGCGCUAGGUGUGGGGCCUAUUCCAUGGGUUCCGUGCCGCAGCUAACGCAUUAAGCGCCCCGCCUGGGGAGUACGGCCGCAAGGCUAA
rnacentral:rRNA from 1 species